GACGAACGCUGGCGGCGUGCUUAACACAUGCAAGUCGAACGGAAAGGCCCUGCUUUUGUGGGGUGCUCGAGUGGCGAACGGGUGAGUAACACGUGAGUAACCUGCCCUUGACUUUGGGAUAACUUCAGGAAACUGGGGCUAAUACCGGAUAGGAGCUCCUGCUGCAUGGUGGGGGUUGGAAAGUUUCGGCGGUUGGGGAUGUACUCGCGGCUUAUCAGCUUGUUGGUGGGGUAGUGGCUUACCAAGGCUUUGACGGGUAGCCGGCCUGAGAGGGUGACCGGCGACAUUGGGACUGAGAGACGGCCCAGACUGCUACGGGAGGCAACAGUGGGGAAUAUUGCACAAUGGGCGGAAGCCUGAUGCAGCAACGCCGCGUGCGGGAUGACGGCCUUCGGGUUGUAAACCGCUUUCGCCUGUGACGAAGCGUGAGUGACGGUAAUGUGUAAAGAAGCACCGGCUAACUACGUG
rnacentral:rRNA from 1 species